rnacentral:sRNA from 1 species
UUCACCCAAUCCAUAUGGUCCUGGCAAAU